rnacentral:rRNA from 1 species
AUUGAACGCUGGCGGCAUGCCUUACACAUGCAAGUCGAACGGCAGCACUGGAGCAAUCCUGGUGGCGAGUGGCGAACGGGUGAGUAAUAUAUCGGAACGUGCCCAGUCGUGGGGGAUAACGCAGCGAAAGCUGUGCUAAUACCGCAUACGAUCUAUGGAUGAAAGCGGGGGAUCGCAAGACCUCGCGCGAUUGGAGCGGCCGAUAUCAGAUUAGCUAGUUGGUGGGGUAAAGGCCUACCAAGGCGACGAUCUGUAGCGGGUCUGAGAGGAUGAUCCGCCACACUGGGACUGAGACACGGCCCAGACUCCUACGGGAGGCAGCAGUGGGGAAUUUUGGACAAUGGGCGAAAGCCUGAUCCAGCCAUGCCGCGUGAGUGAAGAAGGCCUUCGGGUUGUAAAGCUCUUUCGGCUGGGAAGAAAUCGCACAGGCUAAUACUCUGUGUGGAUGACGGUACCAGCACAAGAAGCACCGGCUAACUACGUGCCAGCCGCCGCCGUAA